rnacentral:lncRNA from 1 species
GUUCUCCGAUGGUGAGAUUUCUCUCCACUGUCCAUGGUAAGUCGAAGAGCUUCGCGGUCACAAACUUGAAGAUCUUAUUUACGUUUAUGUUGUAAGAAGCACUCGAGAAGAAGAGAGUCGCGUUUAGCGCCUUGGCAUAGGUUCUCGCCUGGCUAGCAAUAGUCCAUUGCAGAUCGAUAGGGAGCUGAAUAAACUCAUCAAACUUUGUUCCUACCAUAACUGGAAUCGCGGUCUGCAUAGAAAACAUAAAGUGUUUUAUUAAGGAGAGACCGAAGCUGCCGUAUGCAUAAAGACAUUGUUAUAUAUAGAGAGAGAUCAAACUGAGAAUGUUAUUAGUGUUGUCUUAGAAUCCCACCUGAUUAGACCUUCUAGCUUGUUGAUACCAGCUAAUCACACUGCAUAAUCAUAAAAAUAAGAAGAAGCUUUAGCUUUUAAUUAAUCAAAAGUUACAUGUUGAUAAGGCUGAACAGUAAUUGUAGUACUUGUUAAGUGUGCAACGACUGGUGAGAUCGAACAUGAAGAGAAUGGCUACAGAGUCCUUGCAAGCCAUGGGGACUAGAUCCCGUGAUUUCUCAGCUCCUGUUUGAUUAACAUUCUAGUUAACCUCCAAUGAUUGCAAUGGAUUUAACAUUUAAUUGGUUGUUAAGAAGAAGAAAGAAGAUUAACCUUGUAACUCCCAGAUACUGUAGGAAAUACGAGCUCCUCCCAUGGAUAACGUCUUGUCCGUACAAUGGAUCCCUUUCUCCAAUUCUCUCAUUUCAACUUGUUUCUCUCCACCAACAUACUUCGCCUUCACAAUCAAAAUCAACCAAUUCAAAUAAUCAAUAUUAUUGUUUGUUUUCUUAAAUUUUAAUGUAUGUAAGUUAAUCAUUUUAGCUAUUAAUUUUUUUAAAUUUUGUGAUUUGCUAGUGAUCAAUGCAAAAAUGCAGCAACAUGUAAACAAACAUGACCAAUUAACCAUAAAUUUAAAAACCAGUAAUGACGUAGAGAGAUCGAAUGUGUAUAUGUAAAACUAACUAACCAGGAAGCAAGUUUUUCCGAUCUCGGGAUCUCCUAAGAGGCUUAUUUUUAGAGAAACCAGAUCAGAGUCCGAUCUCCGGUUGCUGCCAUCGUGGUUAUGUACCGAUGUGCGGCGUGCGACCUCACCUUCAACGGCGGGGACCGGAGGAGGGAGAGAACGAGAGACACUCGGAGACGGAGUGGCGGCGCGUGACAGCAAUAAAUAACUCUGUGAUUUACCGGGAGCGCAAGGGACGAUUCUGCUCAAGAGAAUGCGCGUGAAUCGACGGAGAAUCAAUACCCUACGGUUCACUAGGUUCCUGAGAUUGUUGGUUCGAGCGAUCUUGACGCAGGAUUGAGCCAUUUCGAUUGAUUAAGAGAAGAAGGGAAAAUAUAAAGUAGAAGGAAGAAGAAGAAGAUGCAGAAUCAGGAAGAUCUGGUGAUGGCCAGAGAGAAGCUGAUUGAUUCCAUUUUGGCCAUGAAAGAAAAAGGAAAGAAAGGAGAGAGAGGUAAUAUACGGAAAGCUUUCUAGGUUUCUGUGUUUCCUCCUCUUUUUCGGAGGGGACGACACUUCAAAGCUUUUUUUCAAAAUAUUAUUUGUUAUUUUUUAUUGAUUUUUUUGACACAUGUGUGGGGGGGCAACGAGAUGAGAGAGAGGUGGAGAUUUCUUGGAUGUGACGACCACAAAUCACAUUACACAUUUUCGGGCCUACGUUGACCUUUAAUUUUAAUUAGUCAUAUGCAUUCUAAUCUAAAUUACAGAUCUAUAGUAUAUCUUAACUUAUAAGAUAUUGAUAGAUAUAUUAAUAAUAUCAUAUUAUGUAUGUACAUAGAGAUAGAGAUAUCCGUACAUAAUAUGUAUUUGGAAAAUGUAAUUUGAUAUGGUUAUUAAUCACCCUAUAACAUAUACAUUAUGCAUUAGCGCCAGAAUUGAUUAAGUAUACCAAGUAGCUUAUUAAUUAAAUUUGAAGCCGGGACGGCUACGAGUUCAUGUAAUAAACUGUGCCAAACAUUUGGUCACUUUCUAAUUGAUAUGUAAGACCACAUAUAAAUAUAAUUUUGAAUAUAGAACGUACGUAUAAUUUAAUAAAUAUGUGAGAUUGAUGAAUUCUAUUGGCCCUCAACUUUCUAAUUAUAUUAGAAAUUGGAUCGUUGACGGUAAUAAUUUCACACAUAUAAUCUUAUCAUAUCUACAUUAAACGAAAUUUAAGUUGUGGUUACCAUCCAUAUAGUCUGCCAUAAGGUCUACGCAUAGUCCUUAUAUAUAAACAUACAUAUAUACACACACACAUAUAUAUAUAAGUUAACCUAGAUAUAACUCUCUCAAAACUUUUUAGACAUAUAAAUAAUCGCGUGUAUUUAAAAAAAGCUUUCGUAAGUUUUAUGAGAUAGUAAGUUACAAAAAAAAAGUUUUAUGAGAUAGUAGCUCUUAGAUAUGUUUACAAACAUAUACGUUGUGUACUUCACAAAUAUCCCACCAAUAUGCACUUAUACAAACGUAAACUACAUAUUUUAUUAAGCACAUACAUAUUAAGAUGUACACACAUCAAGCGAAUAUAUGCAAGAUGGGGUACAUACAUAAACACCACCAAAUUUACAAGGGUUUACUAGAAUUGCUCAUCAUUCAGAAGCGGCCAUUGAAAUUACCCAACAUGGAAAUAGGGACGACGCAUAAUCCUCUAGUCCUCAAGUCCAUAUUAUUACUGUUACUGUUGUUUCCUUCUCUGAGAUUCCUCAUCAUCGUCAGCUUUUGUUCAUCUCCUUCUUGGAUUUGGAUUUGAUGAUCCCCCAUGCCUCUCAUAUUUCCCUAUCAAUACCGUAUCGCAAACAUCUUUACGUGUUACAUCCAUCGAAUAUAAUGUAAAGAUUAUUAAUACGAAAAGAUCAUAUACCUUCCUUAUAACUAGACAAACAAAGCUUAUCUAAUAAUACAGGACCAAGUCUGUCUUAAUAAACUAAUAUUAUGCAAAAUGAAUCUUCUCUAUCUUUUCCGUUUGGGUUAUAAAUGAAAUUAAAUUCAAGUUGAUAUAUAGGUGGACACAUAAAUUUAUAUGUAUGAAAGAAAGCAUAGAGAUUACCAUAACGAAACUAGAAGAGACAUAGUCCUCAUGUUUUCUAGGAGGCGUCUGAAUAUGUUCAAUCUGACUGACCUGUUCAAUAUUAUUUAUAUAAAAUUAUACAUUUGCUAUAACUACUACAAAGGGAGAUUCUACAAGAGGAGAAUAAUAAUAAAAGGAUAAAGUAAUUAUUGGAGGUAACUGACUCAUAAUCAAUCAUAUUUUACAAUUAAAUUAAAAUUAUAAUUUUUUCUAUAGAUUUGCACCAAAAAAGAAAAGCAAAAGAAAAAUUUUGGAUUAAAAUUUCAAUCAUGGAUCAUGUUUUAAUUGGAUUACGUUAAGUAGUAUCUAACCUUAGGGCUAUUAACCGGAGAGCUAGCUGUAUCCUCCAAAGAAUCAUCCUCACAAAUCUUUUUGGUUCUUGCCUUCCCAAACUUCAAUUUCACCGGAAAAUUAACUGGAAAACUCCGGCCAGAAAAUGCGUCAGUGGCGGCGUCGGAGACCAGAGAAGGAGAGGCGUCCAGAAUCGAACACGAACUCUUAUCUUGAUGAUCGUUAUCUUCAGGAUGAGUUCUGUAUUGAUUUGAGAAAUCUUCAAGAUAAGUUGUCCAUCCACUCUCCUCUUGCUGAACACCAUCAUGAUGAUCAUGAUCAGGAUCAUCAAUAUCAGUAUCAUUAUCGUGACGGUCGAAAGGAGCGUGAUUUUGUUCAUAAGAAUUACAAGAGAAUGUAUCCAUCAUGUGGAGAAAGGAGGAAUAAACCAAAAUAAAAUGGAAUAAUUCGUAAGUGGUUGCGUUUGGUAUGUAUAUAUAUUAAGGUCGUUAAAUUUUCGUGAUAUAUAAAAAAGGAGAAAUAAAACUAAUUGGAGAGACAGUAAUCGGAAUCUUGAUGUGGUCAUCACAUGGGUCCCAAAGCGUUGAUCAAAAUAUGGAGAACUAAAAGCCAACGAUGGACCUCUGUAGAAGUGUGACAUUAAGCUAUCUAUAGGAAAUAUGUUCCACCAUACAAAAGUGAAAUAUAAGUCCAUUUUUAUUUUUCGAAAUGAAAAACAUUUUGCAUAUGUAAACAAAUACGCAGAUUUACAGUCGUGGACCGAUCGGUAGAAAGUGGGUAAUACAUAACGAGACCAUACAAUCAUAUAAGUAGGAAACAAAACAUUUAUAUUUGUUCUUUCAAAAUUAGGAUAUUGCUAAACUUAAGAUUUGUAUGAUUUUAUUCCUUCAGUGAUGUUUUAUCAAAUAGUUUUGACCCAAAAAUAAGCUUAAAUGUGAUCUGGCCCAACUUAUCGUUGAUUUGCAGGCAUUUCUUUAUUAUUAGUUGAGACAUAGCUUUCCAACAAACUCAUUUACGCAAUGGUAGAAUAUAAACUAUACAUUAUGUGUCUGUCUGCAGAAAAAAAAAACUAUUUGUAAAGUGCGUUAUGAUAAUCGAAGCAAACGUAGACAACAACAAAUUUAAACUACGAUUAGUGCAAAAACGAAAUUUCUAAAUAAAAAUAGAAGCCAUAGAGGGUUGGUUAGCGUGAAAAGUAAUUCAAACGGCUGAUUUCGUUUUGACAAAUAUCCUCUAGGAACGCUAUCAUGAUGUGGCUAUCUGAUUUUUUGAAAGAAUAAUUAAAUAGUUAAACCUAAAUUGUUAAAGUGGAGCAGUUGAUGUAUCAGUUAUUAAUAUUUAACCCUAAUACAAACCAAAAUAAAAGAGAGAAGGAAUGUCAUGUAUGUUCGUUGAACUUGACCACUUUUGAUGUUGCGUGAGAAUGGCAAACGCCAAAUGAAGUAGACCUUUUUGUUUUAUCGUUUAGCCGUUACAGAACGAUGACAAUUGAAACUAUUGGACGUGAUGUGCAAAAACAUGUGAAGAUGGGAUACGAUGAGAGCUCGGUAAUUUUGAAAAUAGUAUAUAGAUUUGUAAGCUUAAAAAUGGAGCACUUUUAUAAGUAGAUUUUUGCAAUGUACAAAAAAAUCAUUAAAUGUUAAUUAGAGCAUCUCCAAAAAAAUUCUCUAUUUUAAUGUUUUAUAACUCUAUAAUCGAAAUUUCAAGGUGUUUUUCUCCUAAUCAAAACUUCAUACUUAACUUCAAAAUUAUUUGUAUUUUACACUAUGAUCUUUAAAUUUAUCAUACUAAUGUAAAUCCAUAAAAAAUUAUAAAUAACUAGCACAUAUAUAAGAAUAUUACAGAAAUAUCAAUUAAUAAAAUCUUACACUAAAAUAUAAAAUUAUAAAUCAAAAUACAAUUAAAUAUUAAAUCUCCAAGCAAAAUACCAUAUUAUUUCAUAAAAUUAUUUUCGUAAUGUUCUAUUUUCGGUUACAAAAACAUUGUUUGGACAAUAUUUUGGAGAUUUUGGAGGUUCCAGAGUAAAUUUACAAGAUUAUUGGUGAUUAUUGGUGUUGUUGUAAUAUUUGAAUUUAUGCAAUAAUUAUGUCUUCAUGUAUCUUUUUUUAAAAAAAAAUUAGUAAGUUUUUUUGUAAUAUUCUUAUUGUCUAAUUAUAGUUUUAAAAUAUUGUAAAACUAGUGUCUAAUUAUAUUUAUUAGAUAUAGUGUAAUCAAGUAUACUCUAUAACUUUGUUUUGAAUUGUAUAGAUUUAAUAACCAAAUUAAAAAAUGUUUUCCUAAUUUUCACUUUAGUUAAACACAAACUAUAUUAUGAAAUAAAGUGAAUAGUAACGAACAAAAUUAGUUAUUUAUACAAACAAUUCCCUCAAAGAAAAAAAAUUAUUUUUUUUAAGAAGAAAGAAAAAAAAAUUAGUUUAGAUUGAAAAUUUGAGAAAUCUGAAUUUUACUUUGGAAACCCUCCAAUCCUCGAAUAAAUUAACACCAUGCCUCAAAGUCAAAGAAACACACAUUCUUAACUACAACGUACAUAAAUUGUCCAGCUCCUCACUUGACAGCAUCAACUCUGUAGUCUAUUUAGGUUAAGAAAAAAAAAACUCAAGCGAAAUGAUAUUUACUAGUAUUUAGAAUUUGCUGGAACCAAAAUUCUCCAGCGGUAAUCGAAUGUGGAAACAUUACAAAGUGAAUAAGAAAAAUCCACAAUACCCCUCUCUCUUUUUCUUAUCAUGUUCCUUUUCUCUCGAUACCAUUUUUUCUCUGUUUUUCCUUUUUUUGUUUAUUGAAAAAAAAAACAGAAGAAAGCGGGCGAAAUCUCCGCCUCAUCUCUCCAUUUCGCUUUAAAAACGGCUAGAAACUGUGCUCCAAUCAACCCCACGGCGGUGAAUGAAACAAAAGAAACUAUCAUCGGAUUCACUUGUUUUAUAUUAGAUAUAUCUACAAAUAGGUUUUGGAAGAUGCUAGUAGUCGAUGAUUGGUUCUCCGAUGGUGAGAUUUCUCUCCACUGUCCAUGGUAAGUCGAAGAGCUUCGCGGUCACAAACUUGAAGAUCUUAUUUACGUUUAUGUUGUAAGAAGCACUCGAGAAGAAGAGAGUCGCGUUUAGCGCCUUGGCAUAGGUUCUCGCCUGGCUAGCAAUAGUCCAUUGCAGAUCGAUAGGGAGCUGAAUAAACUCAUCAAACUUUGUUCCUACCAUAACUGGAAUCGCGGUCU